rnacentral:rRNA from 1 species
UUGACCUAAAAUCAGGUGGGACUACCCGCUGAA